rnacentral:rRNA from 1 species
CGCAUCUGUGCAUGCAGCAUAUCAAUAAGCGGAGGAAAAGAAACUAACAAGGAUUCCCCUAGUAACGGCGAGUGAAGCGGGAAGAGCUCAAAUUUGAAAUCUUAAAGGGUUUCCCUUUACGAAUUGUAGUUUAAAGAAGUGUUUUCUGUUGAGGUUUUGGUAAAAGUUCUUUGGAAUAGGACAUCAUAGAGGGUGAGAAUCCCGUAUUUGACCUUUACUUUCAACUUUGUGAUACACUUUCAAAGAGUCGGAUUGUUUGGGAAUGCAGUCCAAAAUGGGUGGUAAAUUUCAUCUAAAGCUAAAUAUUGGCGAGAGACCGAUAGCGAACAAGUACCGUGAGGGAAAGAUGAAAAGAACUUUGAAAAGAGAGUUAAACAGUACGUGAAAUUGUCAAAAGGGAAGCGUUUGACACCAGUGUUGUUUUUCUGAAAAUCAAUUAAAGAACUGUUUAUGCUAAGUUGUUUAGACUUUAUCAGCUAACUGUUUAGUUUUGAGCUUUUCUUUAAUGCACUUUUCAGUUAACAAGUCAACUAUCAAUUUCUUUUGCUGUAAAAAAGCUUGAGGAAGGUGGCUUGAGAUUCGUCUUAAGUGUUUAUAGCCUCUUGCCUAUGCAGUCGGAGAGAUUGAGGUCUGUAGCGUAGAUCCUUCGGGGCUAAAUGCAUUUGUGCUAAGUUAUAGCAUUUUAUAGACAACUUGUUGACUAUGAUUUGUCUUGUAGCUUACUCGCUUAUGUUAUUUUACCUACGCUUAGGAUGUUGAUCUCUCACAGUCGAGC